UACGGAGGGUGCGAGCGUUGUCCGGAAUCAUUGGGCGUAAAGGGCGCGUAGGUGGCCCGGUGAGUCUUUGGUGAAAGCGCGGGGCUCAACCCUGCGUCGGCCAGGGAUACUGCCGCGGCUGGAGCACUGUAGAGGCAGGCGGAAUUCCGGGUGUAGCGGUGGAAUGCGUAGAGAUCCGGAAGAACACCGGUGGCGAAGGCGGCCUGCUGGGCAGUGGCUGACACUGAGGCGCGACAGCGUGGGGAGCAAACAGGG
rnacentral:rRNA from 1 species